AACGGCUCACCAAGGCGACGACGGGUAGCCGGCCUGAGAGGGUGACCGGCCACACUGGGACUGAGACACGGCCCAGACUCCUACGGGAGGCAGCAGUGGGGAAUAUUGCACAAUGGGCGCAAGCCUGAUGCAGCGACGCCGCGUGGGGGAUGACGGCCUUCGGGUUGUAAACCUCUUUCAGCAGGGACGAAGCGGAAGUGACGGUACCUGCAGAAGAAGCACCGGCCAACUACGUGCCAGCAGCCGCGGUAAUACGUAGGGUG
rnacentral:rRNA from 1 species